UCGGGAAUAUUGCGCAAUGGAGGAAACUCUGACGCAGUGACGCCGCGUAUAGGAAGAAGUUUUUCGGAAUGUAAACUAUUGUCGUUAGGGAAGAGAAAGGACAGUACCUAAGGAGGAAGCUCCGGCUAACUACGUGCCAGCAGCCGCGGUAAUACGUAGGGAGCGAGCGUUAUCCGGAAUUAUUGGGUGUAAAGGGUGCGUAGACGGGAAAACAAGUUAGUUGUGAAAUCCCUCGGCUUAACUGAGGAACUGCAACUAAAACUAUUUUUCUUGAGUGCAGGAGAGGUAAGUGGAAUUCCUAGU
rnacentral:rRNA from 1 species